ACAUAUAUGCACAAUCAGAGGCUUUUAUUGGGGCUUUUCAUUUUCUUUUAGAGCCAGCCGCAUCCAUGCAAUGAGCAGCCAACGACACCAGAGCACCGGGCAGAAAGAGCAGCACAGGGCAGAAAAACAAAGCCCUGCAAACACGGCAAACACCCUGUCUAUGGUUUGCCUGUGGACCAGGAGCAGCUUGGCG
rnacentral:lncRNA from 1 species